UACGUAGGUGGCAAGCGUUGUCCGGAUUUAUUGGGCGUAAAGCGCGCGCAGGCGGUGAGGUAAGUCCGUCGUGAAAUCUCCCGGCUCAGCUGGGAGGGUGCGGGGGAGACUGCCUGACUGGAGGCACUCAGAGGCCGGUGGAAUUCCCGGUGGAGUGGUGAAAUGCGUAGAGAUCCGGAGGAACACCAGUGGCGAAGGCGGCUCGCUGGGCUCUACCUGACGCUGAGGCGCGAAAGCGUGGGGAGCGAACCGG
rnacentral:rRNA from 1 species